rnacentral:rRNA from 1 species
GAUAAGUUCCGGUAAGGUGCCUAAAAACCUUUGACCCGGAAAUUUCCGAAUGGGGCAACCCAUCUGAUUUAUCAGAUUUAAGAGAAAACCCGCCGAACUGAAACAUCUAAGUAAGCGGAGGAAAAGAAAAUAACAAUGAUUCCCUAAGUAGUGGCGAGCGAACAGGGAAUAGCCCAAACCUAUCAUGUUACGGCAUGAUAGGGGUUGUAGGACUACAAUGUGAAUAUAUUUGCUAAGAAGAAGCUUUUGGAAAGUUGAACCAUAGAGGGUGAUAGUCCCGUAUUCGUAAACAAAUAUAUUUUAGUAGGAUCCUGAGUACCACGGAGUCGGUGAAGCUUUGUGGGAAUCUGCCAGCACCAUCUGGUAAGGCUAAAUACUCCUGAGAGACCGAUAGUGAACUAGUACUGCGAAGGAAAGGUGAAAAGUAUCUCGAAUAGAGAGGUGAAAAGAACCUGAAACCGUACGCCUACAAGCGGUCGGAGCCCUAAUUUAUUGGGGUGACGGCGUGCCUUUUGCAUAAUGAGCCUACGAGUUACUCCUCACUGGCAAGGUUAACCACGGUUACGUGGGCAGCCGAAGCGAAAGCGAGUCUUAACAGGGCGCAUAGUCAGUGGGGGUAGACGCGAAACUUUGUGAUCUACCCUUGGCCAGGAUGAAGUUCAGGUAACACUGAAUGGAGGUCCGAACCGGUAAACGUUGAAAAGUUUUCGGAUGAGUUGAGGGUAGGGGUGAAAGGCCUAUCAAACUGAGAGAUAGCUCGUACUCCCCGAAAUGUUUUUAGGAACAGCGUCGAUCGUACAAUAUUAGAGGUAGAGCUACUAAUUGGGUAAGGGGAUGUCAAAGUCUACCGAACUCAAAUAAACUCCGAAUGCUAAUAUUUAAUUAAUCGGCAGUGAGGGCAUGGGUGCUAAGGUCCGUGCCCGAGAGGGAAACAACCCAGACUAACAGCUAAGGUCCCAAAGUAUACACUAAGUUGAUCAAAUGUGGUCCAGUCGCCCAGACAGCCAGGAUGUUUGCUUGGAAGCAGCAAUUCAUUUAAAGAGUGCGUAACAGCUCACUGGUCGAGCGACAGGGCAUAAACAAUAAACGGGCAUUAAGUGUAUCACCGAAGCUCUAGAUGCGCGCAAGCGUAUGGUAGGGGAGCAUUCUAGCAAGCUGUGAAGAAGUACCGUAAGGACUAUUGGAGCGACUAGAAAAGCAAAUGUUGGCAUAAGUAACGAUAAUGGAAGUGAAAAACUUCCACUCCGUAAAUCUAAGGUUUCCUGAUCAAUGAUAAUCAGAUCAGGGUUAGUCGGGACCUAAGGCGAACCGUUUCAGGGAAGUCGAUGGACAACAGGUUAAUAUUCCUGUACUAGCUGAGAGGGACGGAUAGAUGUAGUCAGUACGUACAGACAGAUGUACGUUGAGCCUACUCCUCGGAGGAAGCGAACUGGUGAGUUCUAUCCCUAGAAAAGCUCCAGCAUAAACCCGUACCGUAAACCGACACAGGUGGAUGAGGAGAGUAUCCUAAGGAGCUCGAGUGAGUCAUGGUUAAGGAAUUAGGCAAAUUUACCCUGUAACUUCGGGAGAAAGGGUGCCCCGAGCAAUCGAGGCCGCAGUGAAAAGGCCCAGGCGACUGUUUAUCAAAAACACAUGGCUCUGCUAAAUCGAAAGAUGAUGUAUAGGGUCUGACACCUGCCCGGUGCCGGAAGGUUAAGAGGGGAUGUCAGCGCAAGCGAAGCAUUGAAUCGAAGCCCCGGUAAACGGCGGCCGUAACUAUAACGGUCCUAAGGUAGCGAAAUUCCUUGUCGGGUAAGUUCCGACCUGCACGAAUGGUGUAACGAUCUGGGCACUGUCUCAACCAUGAGCUCGGUGAAAUUGUAGUCUCGGUGAAGAUGCCGAGUACCCGCAACGGGACGGAAAGACCCCGUGCACCUUUACUAUAGCUUUGCAUUGGGUUUGGAUAAUUGAUGUGUAGAAUAGGUGGGAGGCUUUGAAGCAAUGUCGCUAGAUGUUGUGGAGCCAACGUUGAAAUACCACCCUUCAAUUAUUUGGAUCCUAACUCCGCAAUGCGGAAAACAGUGUAUGGUGGGUAGUUUGACUGGGGUGGUCGCCUCCAAAAGAGUAUCGGAGGCUUCCAAAGGUACACUCAGCACGCUUGGUAACCGUGCGUAGAGUGCAAUAGCAUAAGUGUGCUUGACUGUGAGACCUACAAGUCGAGCAGGAACGAAAGUUGGGUAUAGUGAUCCGGCGGUUCUGUAUGGAAAGGCCGUCGCUCAUAGGAUAAAAGGUACGCCGGGGAUAACAGGCUGAUUUUGCCCAAGAGCUCAUAUCGACGGCAAAGUUUGGCACCUCGAUGUCGGCUCGUCACAUCCUGGGGCUGGAGAAGGUCCCAAGGGUUGGGCUGUUCGCCCAUUAAA